rnacentral:lncRNA from 1 species
CGGAAAAGGAUGAUUCGAGUCAGUCUUCUUCAUCACUUUUCCCUUCUCCAGUAAAGGUGCCAAUUUGCAGUUUAUCUUCAGCGACAUCCAGCAUAGUAGACAGUUCUGAAGAAUAUAAACCAGAAAUGGAAAAGAAAAGACGUGUUGAUUAUGAACCAAAGGGAUUCAAAAAUAAAAAUCUUAAACCUAGUUAGACAGCAUCCGAAAUGGAGUUUAAAAACUAUUCGCCGAUGUGGAGGCAGUGUUCUUCAUUGUAAAGAUGAUUUGAAACGGUGGGAGAGAGAGAUAACAGGUUCUGGUAUAAAAGAAAAGCAUGAAUUGAUAAAUAAAUGGACCUAUGAUUGGUUUUAUGAA